ensembl:lncRNA
UUCAUGCUAAUGCAUUAACUACUGUUAACAGAUUGUAAAGUGUUACCAUCAUAAUGACUCUUCAGUGCAUUCCAGUCUUUUACUGUAUAAUAUUGUGUGUAUGUGUUUUUAUGGUAAACAUAGUUUCUAUCCGUUCCAUGUUUUCUAAGCUGCUGGUCAAGUGCAGGAGUCAUUUGCUGUAAAUGGACAAAUAAGUGCAAAUGCAGGCUUCUCCACAACGGCAGAUGCUUUGGGGGCUGAUAGCCUAACAUUCACAGAUGGGGUGUCUCCAGGAUUCAUGGCACCUGAUGGCAUGGGAGGCAACAGCAAUGAACUGAUGAACAGAGAUGAACGUUAUGAAGAUAAGCGUGUGCAUCCAAAGGGAAAGAAGAAAAAAGUAGGAAGAGAGGGGAUAACAGCUUCACCACUAAAGAGGAAAAGCAUCUAGUCAGCAUCUGAUUAUUAUGAAACGUGAUUUGGUAAAUAACACUUAUUUUCUGUUUAUUUAGCAUUAGUAGUCUAUUUCUAUAAGCUUAAAGGGACAGUUCAUCCA